rnacentral:lncRNA from 1 species
GCAACUCGUGCCCAUGACAUGGAAUUGAGCAUGGCCUCCGCUAGAAAUGAAAGACUGCCCAUCUAUAAACCUCGCAAAGCGAAUGACAAGCAAGAAGUCAGGAAGUGGGGCAAGUUCGUACACAAGUCUGAAAGCAAAGAAGCUUUGAAUGUCAAUACGUCACCUAUGAAGUUCAAAACGAAGGUGAGCAAGAAGCAGAGUAUGAAAUCCACUUCUUUUCAAGACAAGCCAAGUGGAAAGNNNNNNNNNNNNNNNNNNNNNNNNNNNNNNNNNNNNNNNNNNNNNNNNNNNNNNNNNNNNNNNNNAGACAAGCCAAGUGGAAAGUUGACUCUAAAAGAGAUGCAGGAGAAAGAGUACCCAUUCCUGGAUUCUGAUGUGCCAGCCAUUUUCGAAGAACUCAUUGAGUUUCCGGAGAUGAAACGACCAAAUGAAGCUGGGAAAAUAAAUUACUCAAACUACUGCAAAUAUCACUGACUUGUAAGCCACCCUCCGGAGAAGUGCUUUGUCUUCGAGGACAAAGUCAUGAACUUGGCUCGUGGAAAGAAGAUCGUGCUUGAAGAUGAGAAAGUAAGCGCAAACCAAGUCUCUAUCACCUUUAGCUCAUUUAGUCCGGAUGAAUUAUGCGGUAUUAAAGAAAGUAAAGAUAGAAGAAUUACUGGAGAACAACAAAGUUGAAGACGAUCAACCUGAUGAUGAUAAAGGUUGGAUGUUGGUGACUCGUCGUAGGCGCCAAAAAAGAGCCCACGAAAAGAAUCAGUAAAACAACCAACAAGGAAGAUGAUGGUAAAAUGAUCAAUGAAAAAGAAUCCAAUUAAGCAUUUGAAGAAAGCAAAAGUGAAGAUGCACCACCCUCAAAAGCCACGACAUACAGUGCCACUUGUUGCCAUGCUGACAAAGGGGGAGAAAAGAGUGAUGACCUACCGUUGUCACCAUGUUUGGAAAGCCCAUCCAGUCCACUACUCAAGAAGUUAAUGCUUGUGAGGAAAAGGUCACGUUUACAAAUUACGAUCUUUUGCUAGGUGAAACUCCUCGUAACGGCCCAUUGUACCUGGUUGGUUAUAUGCGCGAUGAGAGGGUAAAUCGGAUUUUGGUUGAUGGUGGAUAUUCAGUGAACAUUUUGCCAAUCCACACUGUGAAAGAAUUUGGUAUUCCCAUGAACAAACUUUCAGAAAGUCGUGUGAUGAUCCAAGGAUUCAACCAAGGGGGGCAAGGCAAAGAGCCAUAGGCGCUAUCCGGCUGGGAAUAGAUAUGCAGUCAAGUGCAUGGCUGCAUGUGAUCGACACGAAAAUUUCAUACAAUGUUUUGCUAGGGAGGCCUUGGAUACAUGAGAAUAAAGUUGUUCCAUCUACCUACCAUCAAUGUUUAAAAUACUACGAGGGUGAAAUAGAGAAGACGGUAGUUGCUGAUUAUGAGCCAUUCACCGAGGCUGAGUUACACUUCACCAAUACAAAGUUCUACGUGAAGAACCGCGUCAUGAAGGAGUUGAAAGCUGAUGAUGGCAUGAAAAGCAAGAAUAAAGAGUCCUCAACUAAAAGAGAAGAAGUGACUACUGGUGAAGCCUAAUAAGGAGGUACAACCCAAUGUGAAUAAAUCUUAUAGAGGGAAUAUUACAUCUUAUGGCAAAAAAGUAAGGGAAAAAAAGACGAAGGUGAACCAUCUAAUCGCCAUGCUAACAUGCUAAAGGAGUUAAUUCUUCCGGUUAAACGAAUUGAGGUAGUAAAGUCGUCCUCAAUGCGACUUGUAGGUUUUGUAGCCCAAAAUUGUUUGCAGAAUGUGGCACUCCCUACAAAGCGAACAGAAUAAGGUUUUGACCCUAAAAGCUAUUUGCAAAAGCUGGAUACAAUCCCAAUGAGCUGUCAAAGUUAGGGAAGCUCCCAUCAGAAGCUAUAACGAGGCAACCACGUGAAAGUUUGGGAUACAAGCAACCGUCACCAGUGCGCAUCUCAAUAAGAAGGGCAAGCAGCAAUUGUAUCACUGUAGAAGAUGAAUCAGUCGCUUCUAACAAGCCUUCUGUCUUUGAUCGACUUGGAAAAUCACAUGUGAGGACCUCCGUGUUUGAAAGUUUGGGUCCACUAAAGAACGGGAACAAAUUUCGAAGAAAUUUUCAAAGCAUAAGACCACCCACUUUACCCAACAUCUAGGAGAUCUCUAAGGAUUUCCAAUGUUUGGUUCCUUCUAGAAUGAGGCGACAAACAAAACUUGCGGUUUCAUGUAUAGAAGUACUAAAGGUAAAACCAUAUACUGUGGUCUAUACUAAGGAACGUGAUGAAGACAAAGAGAGUGUGGGUUCUUCGUAUCAUGUUACUGUACAAAUCGAGAAUGGCAUUCCAUCUUCAAUGAAAGAUAAUGCGAAAUUGGAGGUUGUUUCGUCGUGUUAUCACAUAUCCUUCAGUGAUGGAGACCCUUAAGAAGAUGAAGAUGCGAAAGAUGCUCCACCUGAACUUGAAGAAGGAGUGAAGACAACAGUUGAUGCCUAAAAAAAAGUUAACCUUGGCACCGAUGAAGAACCAAGACCCACCUACCUAAGUGCUUUUCUAGAAACUGAUGAAGAGAGCACUAAUAUUGAGUUACUCAAAGAGUUCAGCGAAGUCUUUGCUUGGAGUUACAAAGAGAUGUCUGACUUGGACCCGAAAGUAGCAGUCCAUCACCUUGCAGUCAAAAAUGGUGCCCGCCCUGUUAAACAAGCUCAAAGGCGUUUUAGGUCAGACUUGGUUCCCUGAUUGAAACUGAAGUUAACAAACUCAUUGAAGCUGGAUUUAUUUGGGAAGUUAAAUACCCAACAUAGGUUUCAAGAAUUGUCCCUGUAAGGAAGAAGAAUGGCCAGAUAAUCAAGUUCAAGCUCAAGAACGAGAUCGGAAGAGCGUCGUUAAAUACCCAACAUGGGUUUCAAGUAUUGUCCCUGUAAGGAAGAAGAAUGGACAGAUUCGAGUAUGCAUUGACUUCAGGGACCUUAAUAAUGCGUGUCACAAAGAUGAAUUCCCACUUCCUAUUCCAGAGCUGAUGAUCGAUGCUACUAUUGGUUACGAGGCAAUGUCUUUCAUGGAUGGUUCAUUGGGAUAUAACCAAAUUCGCAUGGCACCAAAAGAUGAAGAGCUUAUUGCGUUCCACACCCCCCAAGGGAAUUUAUUGCUACAAGGUAAUGUCUUUUGGCUUGAAGAAUGUUGGUGCUACUUACCACAGGGCUAUGCAGAAUAUUUUCGACGAUCUUCUCCACAAGACUGUCGAAUGCUAUGUUGGCGGCUUGGUGGUGAAAUCAAGAGAGAAUGGCGACCACUUAAAAGACUUGAGGAUGGUAUUUGAAUUGCUCCGGAUGUACCAACUUAGGAUGAAUCCAAUUAAAUGUGCCUUUGGAGUUACUUCUGGAAAGUUCCUUGGUUUCAUUGUCCGACAUCGAGGGAUCNNNNNNNNNNNNNNNNNNCUUGGUUUCAUUGUCCGACAUCGAGGGAUCGAAAUUGAUCAAGCCAAAGUGGAUGCCAUUUUGAAAAUGUCUGAGCCUCGAGAUAUCCAUGAAUUGAAAAAUCUGCAAGGAAAAGUAGCAUACCUUAGAAGAUUCGUAUCAAACAUGGAUGGGAGAUGCCAGCUAUUUAGUCGCCUCAUGAGAAAGGUGUUCCUUUCAAGUGGGACCAAGCUUGUAGCAAUGCCUUCGAAAGUAUCAAAACCUACUUGAUGAAGCAUCUAGUUUUAGAAGCUCCUAUACCUGGAAAGCCAUUGAUACUAUACAUUGCGGCGCAGGAAAAGUCUGUUGGAGCGUUAUUGGCCCAAGAAAAUAUUGAGGGGAAAGAAAACUCUCUUUACAACUUGAGCAAGAUGAUGACACAUAACGAGUUGAAUUAUUCGCCAAUUGAAAAGUUGUGUCUAGCGUUAGUCUUCUCAAUUCAAAAGUCGAAGCACUACUUUCAAGCUCAUGUUGUCCGUCUUGUUUCUAAAGCAAAUCCAUCAAGUUCGUGAUGUCAAAACCCGUUCUUAGUGAUCGAAUAGCGAGAUGGUACCUCCAAUUUCAACAAUUCGAGAUUUUGUACAUUCAUCAAAAGGCUAUAAAAAGGACAAGCAUUGCCAGACUUCUUGGCAGAUCAUCCGAUACCUGAUGACUGGGAGCUAACUGAUGAACUGCCUGAUAAGGACGCAAUGGUCGUUGAAGUUCAACCUCCAUGGAAGAUGUACUUUGAUGGUGCUACGCAUCGUGGGGGAGCUGGGGCUGGUGUAGUAUUUGACACUCCCCAAUGUGAAGUCUUGCCCUACUCCUUCACCUUGACACAACUUUGUUCGAACAAUGUUGCUGAGUAUCAAGUGUCACACCUCAUUUUUCACUAUCCCGGAAGGGUGUUAAGGGAGUUUUUCCAAUUAAAGUGAUAAUCAAAACGGGAUUAUUAUUUUAAGAUCAGAGUCGCCACUUGAAAGAUUUAUGAUAUCCCAAGUCACCGGUUGAAUCCCGAAUCGAGGAAAAGAUUGACUCUGUUUAACAAUCCGCAAACCAAAAAUCCGAGUAAGGAGUUUUGUUAACCCGGGAGAAGGUGUUAGGCAUUUUCGGGUUCCGUGGUUCUAGUACGGUCGAUCAACUGUUAUAUUCAGCUUAAUUAUCUGAUUUUAAACAAUUAUGAACCUAUAUGCAACUUUUAACUUUUAACCGAUUUUAUUUAAUUAAAGAAGAUUGCGACAUUAUUAAAACACGUCACUAACCACGUCACAUAAAUACAUCCGUGUCUUUUGACAUAUUUUAACAUCGUUGAGAGAAUUUGGAUUUGGGUCACAUAAAUGCACACCCGAGUCUAAAAAGGUAAAUUAUUAAAACAACACGCCCAAAGCAAUUAUGCCUUUCAUAAUUAUUGACACAUGGGCCAAGCAAUAUCCAAUAGUACAUUAGUUAUGCCCAAAUUUUAACCCCUCUGCCAACCAAAUAUUCAUAGGCACCGUUAUCUUAUUUCGUCCAAAACACUACCAUGCCCCCCAAAUCCCCGCUAAUCAGAAGACAAUUAGCAAAAGGGCACUAAAGUGCCUCGCCAGAAUACGAAGCUGUCAUGGAAAUGGUGUAAGCUAAAACCAAACAAAAGAAGUCAAAUAAAUAAGACAUUAAGAUAAAGGAUAGGCAUGUCUUUAAUAUCAUGUGAACAACAGAAUCAAUCAGUGUGAUUUUUCAAUGAGUAAAGAAUUUCAUUCAAACUAAAAUUCACAACUCAAAGCACCAGGAUCAUAUAUUCAAAAAGAAAUACUGUAACAAAGCAAAAAUCAGAAAAAAAAAACAGACCUUCAAUGCAAGAACGUGACUUCGUAUCUCUUGAAACUCAACGAUGAACCAAGAUGCGGACCUCGAACAGAAAGCCUUGCCGGAAAUCUCUAACCUCGGAACGAGCAACAAACGAACGAAGCUUCGGACAGAUUUAACAAACGAGCUCCUUAAGAGACUCAAGCCAGCGAAACUCACGCAGCUAACUGGAAGAAAAGGAAAAUGGCAAUAGCUGUAUUCUGAGACAGAAACCUCGCCGGAAAAACCUCGCCUAAGUUUGAACGGAGACCUCACUUAACAUUGGUUGUAUUUGGAUGUUUUGGACCGUUUAGGGGGUGAUCUUCAGUCAUUUUGCACCGAGUUUUAAAGUAUAACAAACCCGUUCCUUUCCCCUCUGUUUCCGCUUCGUUCCCUUCCCCGUUACCUUUUGUGUGCGUCGAUUGAGCUCGCCGGAGAUGGCAGACGCGGAGGAAGGUGGUGUAGGGUCGCUGAUAUGGGGUUCACGUGCGUGAUGGCUCUGGGUUGAGUCCGCCGGCUUGGGGCAUAGUGUGUGAAGGAGACGAAGACGGGGAGGGGGUGUGUUGAGGUAGACGACCAAAGAGGGCCGGUCUAUGUGAUUGCGGCUGAAGCUUUUUUCUUCCGAUCCUUGGGCGUAUAUUUUUAUCUAGGUUUACCAGCGAAAUAAGUAGUGGAAACAGAUUCUUAAUUUAGAAAGGAUUGAACCGCGCAUGACAUUUGUGGGGUUGGAAUUCCAGUAAAUUUCUUAAACACCAGCAUAUAAAGCUGAAGUUUCACAAGUAAAUAGUUCAAAAUUCAGCGUGGAUGAUUGUUCUGUAUUUAAAGUUAGGGGGCAAAAAUCAUUAAAUUGAUCCUGUUUAAGUAAACUUGUGG